rnacentral:rRNA from 1 species
UCCAUACUCCUACUUUAGGCAGCAUUUUUUAAUAUUGCACCAUUGGCGCAAUCCUUCUGCAGCCAUUCCUCUUGUAUGACUCCUUCCUUCGGGUUUUCCCGUACUUUCAUCUUUGAGGAAGUUUUUUUGGUUAAUCCCCCCCGCAAUUGCCUUUCCCCGCAGACUCCUCCCCGGCUACCUCCUUGCCAGCAUCCUCUUUAAUACGUCUUUUUCAAGCGUUACUCGGAAUGACUGGGCGGAAAGCGCACGCAGGAGGUAGGUCAAGUAGGAGGGGAAAUCCAAGGGAGCAACCUGGGAACUGCAUUCGAAACUGGCAGGCUGGAGUCUUGUAGAGGGGGGUAGAAUGAAAGGUGUAGCGGUGAAAUGCGUAGAGAGAGGGAGGAAUAAAGGGGGCGAAGGAGGAAAACUGGACAAAGAAUGACGCUCAGGUGCGAAAGCGUGGGGAGAAAACAGGAUUAGAUACCCGAGUA